rnacentral:rRNA from 1 species
GCAUAUCAAUAAGCGGAGGAAAAGAAACUAACAAGGAUUCCCCCAGUAACUGCGAGUGAAGAGGGAAGAGCUCAAAUUUAGAAUCUGGCAGUCAUCAGGCUGUCCGAGUUGUAAAUUAGAGAAGCGUUAUCCGCACUGGCCUGUGCAUAAGUCUCUUGGAAUAGGGCAUCAUAGAGGGUGACAAUCCCGUCUUUGGCACAGAUCACCAGAGCGUUUGUGAUGCGCUUUCAAUGAGUCGAGUUGUUUGGGAAUGCAGCUCUAAAAGGGUGGUAAAUUCCAUCUAAAGCUAAAUAUUGGCGAGAGACCGAUAGCGAACAAGUACCGUGAGGGAAAGAUGAAAAGAACUUUGAAAAGAGAGUUAAACAGUACGUGAAAUUGUUGAAAGGGAAACGAUUGAAGUCAGUCGUACCAACGGGAAAUCAACCUUUGGAGCGUUAAUUUUGUGAAUCUUUGAAGAGUCUCAAAGCCUUCGGGUUUGCAUAUUUACGUUCUUUGGGCGUACUUUCUCGUACGGUAGGUUAACAUCGAUUUUUGAACAUUAUAAAAUGACUGGAGGAAUGUAGCUUCGAUCUCGUAUUGAAGUGUUAUAGCCUUUGGUAGAUGUAAUGAUCAAGAUCGAGGAUUGCAACGAAUACCCUUUUGGGCUAUCCGUCUGAUCUCUAAUACGUUACCUUGGUUACGAAAGCGUGCUUUCGGCAUUAAGGUGAACGAUUAAAAGGUUAGAACGUGAUUAAAUUCGUUAAGGAUGUUGACGUA